rnacentral:rRNA from 1 species
AUUGAACGCUGGCGGCAGGCCUAACACAUGCAAGUCGAGCGGAUGAAGGGAGCUUGCUCCUGGAUUCAGCGGCGGACGGGUGAGUAAUGCCUAGGAAUCUGCCUGGUAGUGGGGGAUAACGUCCGGAAACGGGCGCUAAUACCGCAUACGUCCUGAGGGAGAAAGUGGGGGAUCUUCGGACCUCACGCUAUCAGAUGAGCCUAGGUCGGAUUAGCUAGUUGGUGGGGUAAAGGCCUACCAAGGCGACGAUCUGUAACUGGUCUGAGAGGAUGAUCAGUCACACUGGAACUGGGACACGGUCCAGACUCCUACGGGAGGCAGCAGUGGGGAAUAUUGGACAGUGGGCGAAAGCCUGAUCCAGCCAUGCCGCGUGUGUGAAGAAGGUCUUCGGAGUGUAAAGAACUUUAAGUUGGGAGGAAGGGCAGUAAGUUAAUACCUUGCUGUUUUGACGUUACCAACAGAAUAAGCACCGGCUAACUUCGUG